GAUGAACGCUGGCGGCGUGCCUAAUACAUGCAAGUCGAGCGAACAGACGAGGAGCUUGCUCUUCUGACGUUAGCGGCGGACGGGCGAGUAACACGUGGAUAACCUACCUAUAAGACUGGGAUAACUUCGGGAAACAGGAGCUACUACCGGAUAAUAUAUUCAACCGCAUGGUUCAAUAGUGAAAGACGGUUUUGCUGUCACUUAUAGAUGGAUCCGCGUCGCAUUAGCUAGUUGGUAAGGUAACGGCUUACCAAGGCAACGAUGCGUAGCCGACCUGAGAGGGUGAUCGGCCACACUGGAACUGAGACACGGUCCAGACUCCUACGGGAGGCAGCAGUAGGGAAUCUUCCGCAAAGGGCGAAAGCCUGACGGAGCAACGCCGCGUGAGUGAUGAAGGUCUUCGGAUCGUAAAACUCUGUUAUUAGGAAAGAACAAAUGUGUAAGUAACUAUGCACGUCUUGACGGUACCUAAUCAGAAAGCCACGGCUAACUACGUG
rnacentral:rRNA from 1 species